rnacentral:rRNA from 1 species
CAAAGUGAAGAUGGCGACCGGCGCACGGGUGAGUAACACGUAUCCAACCUGCCGAUAACUCGGGGAUAGCCUUUCGAAAGAAAGAUUAAUACCCGAUGGCAUAAUAGAACCGCAUGGUUUGAUUAUUAAAGAAUUUCGGUUAUCGAUGGGGAUGCGUUCCAUUAGGCAGUUGGUGGGGUAACGGCCCACCAAACCUUCGAUGGAUAGGGGUUCUGAGAGGAAGGUCCCCCACAUUGGAACUGAGACACGGUCCAA